ensembl:snoRNA small nucleolar RNA SNORD93
UGGCCAAGGAUGAAAACCAUGAUCUGAUUGCAUAUGUUUACAAAAAUAUGCACAAGUCUGAUGGGUUAAAGGAUUUACCUGAGGCCA